CAUUAUUGAGGGAGGGGUAAGGUUUCCCUUAAACCCACUUUUGAGAGAGUGCAUGUGCACUUGGUCCCUUGCCUCUAUUUAACUCUCUGUUAACAUCUAUGGAGUUGUGAAUGGGGUUGUUAAGUUAAACCAAGCCUAAGGCACCCACCUUGGACAGAUGAAAAUUUUGUCCAUCUAUGUUUUUACAGCCUACAAUGCCAAAGCCCCAAUUAAGGACCUUAAGUAUUACCUAAGGCUAAAAAGUGCCUUAAAGAAACUCAUCACCCUCCUUCUAGAAACCAACAAGGACCUAGAAGAGGAUAUUGUGACAAUCUCUGGGAACUGGGAAUUCGAGAGCUCUCCACAUACCUAGCGUAUACCCAGAGCCUUCAGAAGAAUCACAACAUCAACGUAUUGAAACACUUUUGUGAAUACGUUGUUUGUCAGGCAAAACUAGAGAAUAUUUGGAACCUCUUUGAGGAGUAGAAGUCUGCUCUAAAAUUUAUGGGUUUUGAAUCCUUUACCUCCCAUUUGAAAGAUGAAAAGCGGUCGUCCCAAGCUUGUUUCGAACAACAAGAAAGCUCUACUAGUGGUCUCACUAAAAGAAUUUAUGAUCCUAUCAUCAACCUUACUGACCCAUCCAUGGACUUAGAGGUCGAAGAUUUAGUUGUUGCCCUCGUGCGCCAUUCUUCAAGAACUUCGAAAACCACUACCCUUCCUUUCGCUAAGAAAAAAAGAAAAUUACAAAAAGGUGCAGAACUUUUGGCAGUGAAUCAGGAAGUAGGAGCCACACUUUCUACAACCACCGCCUCUACUGCUAGUGCUUGUAUUGAUGCUGGUGGGUCCAUUACCUGUGAAUCUGUGAAAUUGAAAUGAUUUGCCCCUCUUGUAGCCGCUGCUGCUGUUGUUGACCGAGAGGACCCUUUUGCCAAACGCCCCAAGACACAAGGCGGUAGCAAGACUAUGUCCUAUGAGGUUUUUGAUGAUCAUUUUAGGCCUCAAAUGAUACUUCCCAACCGUUGCUAUAUGUCUACGAAUGACAGCCUAAUGGAAGUUCCAGAACUGAGCUUCUAACUUAGCAAAGGUUUUACCCUGCCCAGGGACAUGGCCUCCCUUCAGUGUUAAGAUGAUAUUUCUCUAGUUCGUAUUUGUGUGGUCAGCGCUUUUAGGGCCAUCCAGGUCUGUCAUGAAAGUCUGACUAGAAUGGACUCUUACAAGGCUUAAGCUUGCAUCCAAUCUAUCAAGGCCUCUGGUACUUUGAAAGUUGUUACUGAUAUGGAGAAGAAACUCAAGUUGAUGUCCAACCAGGUUCUGAAGCUUACAAGUGAGAAAGAAGUUGCUAAGAGUGCAGCCCAAUUGGCCGAGACCCAACUAGAAGAGUCUUAAGAGAACCUGGCCUCUACUCUUGCUGUGAAUGAGAUGCUGAAGAAAGACGAUAAUGUGAAGCUGGAGAAAUGCCGCAAGGACAUUAAUAAGAAAUAUCUACAAUAGAUCUACAAGCUUCAGGGUGAUAUCUUCAUUGAUGGCUGGAGGGCUACCUUGGCUAAGGUUGGGAUUACCCUUGGUUCCUUCCGGUACUCUAAUCCAAUUCUGUUUUGGAAGAAAGAUUCACCACUAGCAGAGGAAGCUAAAGGGGAGGACUCCUAGGAAGACCUUGAGGAGGAUAUGGAGGCUAUCCUGAAGAGGAGUGCCCAGAAUGCUGUUGUUCUUACUGAUGAGGUUGAACUUCCUGCCCCUAAGCCUCAAGAGAAAACUUCAUUUACUGCUCCAUAUGUUCCUCCUGCCACAUAAAUUCACGCCCCUGCUAAAGGUGGCGAUGUUGGAGUUGUUUCUUUUAGAGCUUCUAAAGUUGGUGUUACCCAGACCCCUGCCAUGAUAAAAGAUAGAGAGACUUGCCUUUUUUUUUUCUUUUUUUUUUUUUUUGACUGUGGCCCAAAAACUUUGCAUG